rnacentral:rRNA from 1 species
CGGGUGAGUAAUGUCUGGGAAACUGCCUGAUGGAGGGGGAUAACUACUGGAAACGGUAGCUAAUACCGCAUAACGUCUUCGGACCAAAAGUGGGGGACCUUCGGGCCUCACGCCAUCGGAUGUGCCCAGAUGGGAUUAGCUAGUAGGUGGGGUAAUGGCUCACCUAGGCGACGAUCCCUAGCUGGUCUGAGAGGAUGACCAGCCACACUGGAACUGAGACACGGUCCAG